GGGGUUGACUGGAUUUGACAGCGGGCUGAGAUGGUACGUAAGCAUGCGGAGUGACGGCUGUGGACUCCAUAAUCACGUCGGUCGGAAAAUUAAUUGGCGAAAACAACUACGCUCUCGCUGCCUAAACGAAGUAUAGUAGUUUACUGGCUUUAUUCUCUUACUAGGUGAGAGAACGAGACAUCGCUCUUCUGGAUGUUGUUCCGAAUCAGGAAGGUAUAGCGGUGCAGGGAAAAUCGGAAAUAGUCUCUUGGAUGCCUCGGCUGGGAGAUGAAGUUUUAGAGGAUAAGGUCGUAAUUGGUGGCUUGGGUCUUGUUACGACACGAAAAUGAAGACCAAGAUAAGCAUGUAGAAAGCGUAUGGUUUCCCUGUUUGGACGAGGGUUCGACUCCCUCCAGCUCCACU
rnacentral:tmRNA from 1 species